CUUUUAGUAAACAUCCGGUCCUUUAACUCGGGGCUGCGUAAUAACCACCGAGCGCUUGGAAGACAAACGAUGUCAUCUUCCUUCUGUCAGGAGGAUCCAAGUGAAGCUACAGGAGUUUCAUUAACGUCAACAACUUGGACCGAACACUUUGUUUUGCUUGAUGAAGAGCAGGAAGGGCAGCCUGGAGAGAAAGAGAAGCCGGGUUGAGCCCACUACCAUCAUCCACGUACCACGAGGAAGAUGAGGGAGAGAAAUUAUCCUACCAUUAAAGAGAGCUGCCCAUGAUGCUUUCCAUUCUGAUGCCACUUGAGGACACUGAGCCACACACGCAGAAGACACAGUGGAAGAUGUCAGGAGAGUUUUUGAUGUUUCUCUCCCCUCCGCAGGUGUGUGCCAUCUUCCCGUGAAGACUCGGCGGAGGCACAGCUUAUCCGCUGAUCAGCAACAGGAUACCUACUGUGGUCGUGUUCCCAGUCAUCGCCAGUUCGUCCUCGUCACCAGCUGUGGAUUCACCUGUCGAUCCAUCUGCCUUCCCUCCUCGCUGACUACUUCCCAGAGAUAUAUUCUCUCUCAGCUACCACAUCUGAGAUCCAGCGUUUUGGAAAAUAAACACCCUUGAACUCUCCAUUUUGAAUCGUGCUCACUGUUCCGUCUCUGAGGUUCUAAAACACAUCCCGAGCGUAACAGCUAAGGCUGUAGGAGCCUUAAGUGGAGCCUUUACCACAGUGAGAGAAAUUACCUGAGAAAAAAUGGAACAGUGGUGAACCAUAUUUCCUCUGAGAGGGAUUUGACAGCUCAUCCAGGAGGUCACAAAAGAACCAAUGCAAACAUCUGAAGAACUCCAGGCCUCCUUGCUUCAAUGGCCAUGAUUCUGCAAUAAGGAAGACACAUUUGCCAAAAAAAAAUCGUGAUGACUUAAGGCAUUUGGGGAAAUAUUCUGUGGAAUGAUCAGUCAAAAGUAGAACUUUUUGAAAGACAUGUGUCCGGUUACACCUGCUGUAAACCAUCACAGCCUUUCACGUAAAGAGCGUCAUACCAGCAUUCAAACAUGGUGGUGCUAGUGUGAUGGUCUGGGGUGCUUUGUUGCUUCAGGACCUGAACGAUUCUCCAUCUUUGAUGGAACCAGAAAAUCCUCCCAUUAGUUUUUGACCCACAGCUGAAGAGCAGUUGGGCUAUGCAGCAGGGCAAUGAUCUGAAGCACACAAACAAGUCUACAUCGGCUAAAAAUAAGUCAAAUUUAGGUUUUGGAGUCCUGCCUUGAAUCAAGGUGGGAUGCUGUGUUCUUCGAAAAAAUCCUCCAAUGUGUCUGAAUUAAACUACUUUUAUGUCCUGAAAUUACGUAAAACUUAACUUGAGUUCGGGUCAUUGGACAGUUUGACUUUGUCUGAUUUCAAUGGGCAACAUGCUGAUCGGCUGGUCAGCCCAAGAGACAAGAGUAAAGAAAGGGUUACAAUACAGAGAUUGGAAAUUUCGAGAGUCAGUCUCCCAGACUUCGUUGAAACUGUUCCAGCACAGUCAGGUCUACAGUCCAAAGCCCUGAUGUAUGUUGGUGCCAUGUUAAUGGUCGUGACGUGUUCAUGAUGACUACUCUCUCCAGUCCUGUGGGGAGUACUGCAGUUUUUUUUGUUUUUUUUCUUGCUCAGAGUUUGGAAGUUGUUUAAAUGGAGACCUUGUCUUUUAAUGUACACAUUUUUUUGUCUGGUAAAACUCUGUCACUCAGAGAAACGUCCGUACAAAUAUACAGACAUAUGAUCGUGAUCCCUGAGGACUAUGAAUAUUUAUGUUCCUUAUGUUUCACGUUAUACAGUAUGUCAAAUAUUAACUUGAACAAGACUCACAAGGAAACCAGGCUGCAAACGAAUGUUCAUACUGACAACUGAAGGAAAUUGUAUAGAAAUAAAUCACUGCAUCCUUUAUUGUAUAACUUUUGCAAUUUUCAAGCGAUGAGUCAUUUUGCCCUGAAUUAAAGCCUGUUUUAAAUUCC